GUAAUAGCUCAGUUUGUCGAGCGUCGGACUCGUAAUCCAUGGUCGUGGGUUCGAUACCCUCCAAGGCCA